UCCGCAUUAGUCCAGUGGUUAGGAUACCUCGCUCUCAUUGCAGAGAUCCGAGGUGGCCGGGGUUCGAUUCCCCGAUGCGGAA
rnacentral:tRNA from 1 species